rnacentral:rRNA from 1 species
GACGAACGCUGGCGGCGUGCUUAACACAUGCAAGUCGAACGGUGAAGCGCCUUCCUUUUUGGUGGGUGUGGAUGAGUGGCGAACGGGUGAGUAACACGUGAGUAACCUGCCCCCUUCUUCUGGAUAACCGCAUGAAAGUGUGGCUAAUACGGGAUAUUCUGGGUCUGUCGCAUGAUGGGUCUGGGAAAGAUAUUGUUUCGGUGGGGGAUGGGCUCGCGGCCUAUCAGCUUGUUGGUAGGGUGAUGGCCUACCAAGGCGGUGACGGGUAGCCGGCCUGAGAGGGUGGACGGUCACACUGGGACUGAGACACGGCCCAGACUCCUACGGGAGGCAGCAGUGGGGAAUAUUGCACAAUGGGCGCAAGCCUGAUGCAGCGACGCCGCGUGAGGGAUGGAGGCCUUCGGGUUGUGAACCUCUUUCGCCAGUGAAGCAGGCCUGCCUCGUUUGUGGGUGGGUUGACGGUAGCUGGAUAAGAAGCGCCGGCUAACUACGUG